GGUACUGAGGAUGGAGGACAAGGGGUCAGUGGAGACCCAGCUUUGAGCAGAGCCCUGCCUAAGGUCCAGGGCUCGAUCUGGCCCUAACCACAGAGUCACCUUGAGAUGGAGUCUCACUCACUCUGUCACCCAAGCUGGAGCGCAGUGGUGUGAUCUUCAGCUCGUCCCAACCUCCGUCUCCCAGGUUCAAGCGAUUCUCCUGACCUCAAGUGAUCCGUCUGCCUUGGCAUCCCAAAGUGCUGGGAUUACAGGCCUGAGGCCAGGCCCUGAAUUAAUUUUUUGAUGUUUCACUUUGCCAGGUGUAUAAGUAACAUGUUAGUUGUGAUUGUAACUAAAUAAAGGCUUAAGGGAAA